UUUCACAAAAGAGAGUUGCUGGAGCAGACUACAAGUUCUUUAGAUCCAAGAAAUUUCCAGGAGCUCAUUGUGGAGAUAAAUAAUGAGGAUGCCAUCUGCAAACGCACGAGAGCCCGCCACUCCCUUGCACAUUAUACACUUGAAGAACUGGAGGCGUUCCUUCAGGAAUCUGAUGAUGAUGACGACAUGCAAAAUGCUGAUGAUGAAGAAGAAUACCACAAGUUUCUUGCUGCUGUUGCUGGAAGAGCUGAUAAUAAACAGACAGGACAGAAGGAUGUAAAAUGUCUUUACUCAUUGCCCACCAUCAUUUUCGGAGCUGACUUAGUUAAUGGUUUUACAACUGAGCAAAUAGGUCAGCUGUACUGCUUAAUUCAUGAGCAUGUUCAACUUCUUAUUCAGGUCUUCUCUGUUUGUGUUCUUGAUCCAUCGCGACAACAAGUUGCACUUCAGGUCCAAAAGAUGAUUAUGGAGAUGGUUGAUAAGCAUGAAGAAGCAUUAGCCUGUAGAAAAGUUCCUUAUCCUCGCUCUUGCUUUCAGCCUUCAAAUCUUUGUUCAUCACUGCAUGUUGAUUUUCAUCAGAUUCCAGAAUUUUCUAAUUGGACACCUUUACUUGAUAACCUGGUGCUAUCAUUCUUGAUGUUGCUCCACUUCGCUGGUUACUGUUCUGAGCGUUCACCUUGGGGUGCCAUUACCACUUCUUCAAAGACGGCUUCACCACCUGCUCAAGUACAGCCUAAAAAGUCAUUGGCUGCUACACUUGUAGAAAGUACCAUGAAGCAAUCAGUUGCUCUUGUUCCACUGGAUAUUGCCAGAUUAGUGCAGAGUUUUUUCCUCUGUUAAUUCAGCACUAUUUCCUCAUAAGCCUCCAUGCCGCUGUUGCCAAUCGUGUGCUUUUCACUGAUGCUGAGGACGGAUUAUUAGCAAUGGGAUUGGUGGAGUUACAAUAAAUGACUGGGGGGGCAAUUCAGCGUCAUUUUCUUCCUUGUAAAACGAAGCAUCAGAUUUUUGUGAGACAGAAAAAUCGCAGCUCCUCCAAAGCACCUGAGAAUCCAAUUAAAGCUGUACGACGCAUGAAGACCUCUCCAUUAACUACAGAUGAAAAAGCACGGAUCUAUGAGGGACUCAAACUCUUUAAACAUGACUGGUUGUCAAUUUGGAAAUUCUUUGUUCCCCAUAGAGAUCCAUCCUUGCUACCCCGACAGUGGAGGAUUGCUACUGGAACACAGAAGUCUUAUAAGAAAAGUGAAGAUGAUAAAGAGAAAAGGCGAUUAUAUGAAGCGAAGCGAAGAAAAAUUAAAGCUUCAAUGACUGAUAAGCAAGCUUCAUUGGGAUUGGAGGUUGAUAAUGGAGGAAACAGUGCAGAUGACAUGGACAAUGAAGAUGAAGCUUUUGUUCAUGAAGCAUUCUUGGCAGGCUCAGAACGGGGGAGCUUCAAUUGCACAUCAAAUGAUAUGUCUUUUCCAAACAUUAACAAAAAUAACGUGCAGCCUAUUAAUAUGGUGCUGUACAAGGGUACUAAAUCUUGUGAAAAUUCUGCUGGUGGUACAAAUAAAUUUGAGGAAUCAAGGAAGGAAUGUGGAGCUGUGUGUGAACUUGUUACAUCUUCAAAUCCAUCAGUGAGUAUGCUUCCUUUAUCUUAUUUCUCCGGUAGCCAAUACAGUGCGUCUUAUCUGAUUUUUUCCAAGCAGUUGACUUCCACUUCAAAAUCAAGUGCUAGAAGUCAUUUAUGUUCGCUGCCUUACCAAAGGCGUCGAAGAAAAGGUGCUCGAAUUGUCAAGUUGGCUCCAGAUUUGCCUCCUGUAAACCUUCCCCCAUCUGUUCGUGUGAUCUCUCAGUCAACUUUCCAAAAUUAUCGUGGGGGACCAUGUUGUUUUGAUAUUGGUAAUAAUGAAAGAAAAAAGCUCCUUUCGAGUUUCCAGCAAGCUGUUAAACCAGAUGCUACUAUGUCAAAUCCCAGUAAGCAGUUACAUAUGUCCUCCAAUAAUGGUCUUGAAGUUAGCUGUCAGCAAGAUGGAGGGACCUCUGGGAAUCAAUUGGCUGAAGAAAAUAUGUCCGAAUCAGAUCUCCAGAUGCACCCUUUACUUUUUCAGGCUUCUGAAGAUCAAUUUUCAUCAUAUUAUUCAAUGAACUGUUAUAACACUACUACAAGCACUUACAAUUUCUUCCCAAGGAGUCAACUUCAAACCGAUCCCAAUUUCUUCAAGUCUCAAAAGUUAGUUAGGACAACUAAUUAUGUUGAUGCAACACAAAAUCCAAAAGGACCACCAUCAGAUUUAUGUACUAUUGACUUUCAUCCACUACUGCAGAGAACUGAUAGUGUAAGCGGAGACCCUGCUACUAUAUCUUCCAUCAAUCCCCUAUCUGGUGAUUCGGGAGCACAAGGUAAUUGCGACAGAUUUGACCCAUCUGAAUGUCUCUUGAGAGAACCGCUGGUUGAGGAUGGUGAGGUAGCAAAUAAUAGAGCAGCUCCAUGCCAUUAUCGAAAGGAAAAUAAACUUGAUCUGGACAUCCACUUAUGUUCUGUGAUGGAUAAGGAAAAUACAACAGGAGGUGGAGGUACAAAUGAGCAUCAGCAUGUUGAGUCAGACAGUCCUACUUUGGAGCAAAGAACGACAGAGAGUGGCAUGUGUGCUGAUUUAUCAAUCAGCCACUGUAAAGAUAAAUGUCCUGAUGUUUUAGUUUCUUCAGUUUCAAUUAUAAGUGGGCAAGCAUGCUCUAAAAAGGAUUUUGAUUCCGUAUCAGUACAGUCUAGCAAAGUUAGUGCAUGUGAAUGCAGAGGAGAUUUUCAUGUUGAGUCUCUUCCAGAGAUUGUAAUGGAACAGGAGGAAUUAAGUGACUCUGAGGAAGAAAGUGAACAGGUGGAGUUUGAAUGUGAAGAGAUGGAUGACUCAGAAGAAGACGAGAUGGGCGCCACACAACCUUCUGAAAUUCAUAAUAAGGGGAUUCCAGCCAUUGCUGCUAUUGGUGAAAAAAUUCUUGGCAGUCACAAUUUUAACCAGGGUCGGUCAAGAUCUCUGACACAUGGAUCAGUUGGUAAGGGCAAGAAUUAUGCUAGUCCCAUGCAGACAUGCCCAGGUUCAUGCCAUGAUAAAUUAUCACAGUUAAAGCCCAAAGAUGGGAGUGCAAAAAGGGAUAGAUCUCGUAGAAGUUCUCCAAAUGCACCUCACACCCAUCCUGGACGAUCCAGCAAGGCACGAAAUUCCAAGAACUCCAAAGCUGCUCAACAUCCCCACUCGCAAGCAGUUAAUGAACACAAGACUGUUGCUUCCAGAAAACCUAGAAAACAUUCUGUUUUGAAUUAACCCCCGGCAAGUCCGGCUAUUUAUGACAAUGUGCAUAGCUAUUUUCUCCUUGCUAUUCUUGAUAGUUGUUGCAUACUCAGUGAUUCAGUAGAACAUAUGCUGUUUGGUUGGUGCACCUUUUUAAGAACAUCAAACAGUAGCAGCAGCCAUUACGACAAGGCAUUAAAUCAGGAUAACUCAAAUAUCAUCAGACGGAAAAGAAAAUAUUGCGGGUUGUAAAGUAUUGUUAAGUAGCGAUUUUUAUGCCGUAAUAUGAAGUGCAUCAGCAAGGUAACCAAAGGAAUGGUAAAAGAUUAGAUUAGAUUAGACCUGUGCAUAUGGUUUAAGAAAUGUAGAAUGGGCAGUUCCUUACAGGUUCUCUGCAUGAAGCAGCCUGCUUGCUAAUUAACUUUAUCAUGUACAGGCCUUGAAUAUUAUGAAUUUCAUUCGUUUUUGCUGUAAAUGUUAUGAACCAAGCUAUAACAUGUGUCCAUCAGUCAAAUAGAUGACUGUGCAGGGUUUUCUUGUUUUCAUGUAAAUAUUAUAAAAAAAAGGAGUGCUGCCUUAUAAGUCUGUCACUGACUGCAUUCAUUUGUUUUGGUUGAAGCACGAUGGGGAUUUCAACCAUACUAAAAAGGGUCUUGUCAAUGUGUCAUUGUUAUUCCAUUUGGUCUUAAAAUCAUAUGAAAAUUUUGGUUCUUUAA